CGGGGUUUCACCAUGUUGGCCAGGCUGGUCUCGAACUCCUGACCUCGUGAUCUGCCUGCCUUGGGCUCCUGAGUGUUUUCAGAUAAGUAGAUAUUAAGUGACUGACUGAGUAAAGGGAUACACUGGAUCUAUGGAAGUCUUGAUCCAAAAAGCUCUCCAUUGUCCAGUCAGACUCCCUUUUCCAUCUCCAGGGCAGACCAGGGCAUGGUAUAAACUGACUCCACUCCUUGUGUGUAAUACAGUGUCUUCCUAGAGAGGGCGUCUGUCAUUCCACCCCCAGGGACUGCUUGGCAUCUGUGUGGCAGGGGCCAUGCUGUUCCCCGCUGGGAGCACCAUCCUACAGUAAUCUCUGUGCAGGAUGCUAUUAUAAGAAAGACUUGGGACUUUGUCCCCACUCUGCAACCUCACACCCCAAACUGGGAAGGUGCUGAGAAACCGAAGAUUGGCUCGGACAAGUCCAGCUUGGCCAGUAGAUGACUCUAUUGAGGGCCCUCCUGGGUGGCGGCAGGACAGCUCUAGAGGUUCGCACUGCUGCCAUCACUAAGCAAAGUCUCUGGUUCCUGGCCUGCUGUGUGUGAUGGGACUGCCUUCCUGGGUAGGUUCCCAGAUACUCCCAGGGACACACGCUCCUCGCUGGGCCCCCCUGGCCUUGGCUCCUUGCCUGGCCUUCAGGGUUCAGGCAGUGGACAUCCACCCCACGUGACAUGGUGGGACACCUGUCACACCACCGAUGCCCCUGCAGAUGGGCCACGCAACAGCCCUCGGGCCUUCCUGUCUCAGAGCAGGGCUGAUCACAGUCAGGCCCACUGCAGUGGAGAAAGACUGUGCAGAGCUAGACGCUGGACUCGGAUCCUCUCUAGCGUGGGACAGGCACUGGGCACCCAGGUCAGCUGCAGUUCCUGAGAGAGGGCAGCCCCAGAGUCAGAAUCAAGGUGUCAAUAAUAGGAGAAACGAUGGUGGGGAGGAGACCAAGGCAUUAAUAUAGGAACUCUGUAUACUUUCCAGUCAAUUUUUCCAUAAAACUAAAACUGCUCUAAAAAAGGAGUCUGUUAAUUUUUUAAAAUCUCAAAAAGAAUGUGGCUGGUGCCACAAUGAACAAUUUGAGUGAGAAGCUACUCAACGAGGUCAGAGGCAUCAGAGAGGAAGAACACAGCAGCCUGUUUUCUUUGCUGCUCUUUACCGUUAGAAAGAACACUUUUACAACAGACUCUGUUUGAGGACAAACGCUCCACAUUUUUGCCCGCUGGCAGCAGUCAUAAAUUAUGAGAUUUCUGAGGGGCACAAAACUGCAGCGGUCUAAACCAGGCAACAAAAAUCAGCCAAGUCCUUAUCAGGAUCCCCUACAAAUUCUAUUGACUUUUUUGGAUCUGUUUGUCCCUAGGUGUGAACUAGGGAAAAGUCAGGCGAGUCUGCCUUGCUAGUAUAUUUAAAAGAGGAUCUUGGAGAAUUUGAAAGAAAAUGUGGAAGAAGAAAUGACAGUGCUUGGUGAAAGUCAGCAGAAGGGCUUGAUAAUGGAACAGACUAAGGGUGGUGGAUAGUUUUAAGGUUGAGAGAGAAAUGGAAUUAAAAAAAAGGGAGAUAUUCCUGGGGGCUUGAAGCAAGAAGCAGCAGCCGAGAGCAGCGCUGAUCAGGAUGUGAAGGGAGCUUGGUGCGGAGGGCAGUGCUUCCUAUGAGAAAAAGUCCAGUGGUCAAUCUUUUGGGAAGGAGCUGGUGGGAUGAGGGGGCAGCUGGACUGACCUGAGUGCUGUUGUACUGUCUGACCAUCUCCUUUGUAAACAGACGCUCCACACUCAUGCUCAGAGCAGCAUUAUUCACAGCAGCCAGGAGGGGGACGUCGCCCAGGUGUUCCUCGGUGGAUGAAUGGAUAAAGAAAAUGUAAACACACAGUGGAAUCUUACUCAGCCUUGAAAAGGAAGGAAAGUCCAUCCAACACAUGCUACUGCAUGGACGAACUUUGGACAGUGAGCUAAGUGAAAGGAGACAGUCACAAAAGGACAAAUACCAGAUGAUCCCACCUGCGCGAGAUGAUUUGGGAGGACAGCCAUUCUCAUCGGUAUAAUGAACGUAUUGUAAGCUGUGACUUUUACAAAGUCUGAGGGAAACCAAUCUGCAAUCUUGACAGAUACGAUCUUUCCAGAUGCACUGUUCGUUUACGGCGGCAAGAGAGCUCAAUUAAUUUCUGAGGGAGGACGGCAGGAUGCGACCCCUUGUGCGUGGCCUAGGAGGAACUGUCCCUGUGUGAAUUUAUGUUCUGGUAAUUUAAAAAGAUUUAUAUUAAGCUUUUCUUUCAUUUUGAGAGUAGAUUAAAAUUCUAAUGGAAACCAUUUGUAUGCAUUUGUUGAAUUGAAGAGUAUUUAUGGCUGUGUAAAAAAAAUGCUGCAAAAUUCUGCCGAUAAUAAAGUCAGUGAAGCAAGAAUAAGUGUAAAAACAGGAAGGAAAUACGCGAUAGAAACCAUACUGUAUUAUACAAGUAUAAUGAGGGAGGCAAGCCGAGCAGAACGGGGCAGGGAUUAGGCCCCCGGAUGGGAUAGUUUUUCUUAUUUAGUGUAAGGCUUUUGUAGCCCUUUUAUGACUUAAAACAAAAUUUAAAUUUUGAAACAGGCCAGGUCAGUCUGCACAGACCCCAUGGCCACAUCACUGUGUCACAUCAUUCUUGAACUCCUGCCGGUGUCUAGGACAAACAGGCAGGAAAGAAAAUCCAAGCGGCGUCUCAGAGAAAAGAUGCUGAUGGCAGGAAAAGAAGACCCAUGAAACAGGAGGCGGGGGUCAGCGAGCAAGGUGAAAAUCAGAGCCCCGGAGUGCAGUGCAGGUGGAAGAGAGGUAGCAAAACCAGGGAAGUCGCCGUGCUCGGGACAGUCCAGUGUGUCCCUGGCAUCCCCAGUCAUUGCCGUGGCCACCUGAUCAGAACCUGUACAGAAGCUGCCCCAUCUCCUCCACGGUGAGGGCCAAGUUGCAUGUGCCACAGCCCUGUCGGUGACCUUUCUGCGGGCUGGGGAAGCAGAGACAACGGCCUGACAAUCUGCAGGCACAGCCAUCCAAGGGGACAGGGUCCAUGCAACAGCCACCAGAGAAAGCUCCUCACUGCCACCUUUGCAGAGGGAGAAAAGCAGAAAGCAUCGUGGAGGCCCUUUAUCAUGUUGGAAGGCCAGAGACAUUUGGCAUUCCGUCAAGGUCCAUCUUAGAGUUGAGAGAGAGUUUCACCAGGAAACUCACAUUCUCUCAGAACUAGCAGCCGUGAUCGCAUGUCGAAGUCAGGCAACGCCAAGCGUGAUGGUUAACAGCGCUAAGACAGGAGAAAAUGGAAAUUCCCUGAGAGUCCACUGCUCUGCUCCUGCGGCGGUGCUUUUCCCCCUCGUUGUAAGCAUGCUCUUUACCAGAGCUGCACGGAUGUCAUAAACUGCCUCACGAUGCACUAGAGCAGAAUCGUGCGUUAGCAAAUUUCACAGAUGCAAAGUGGGAUUUCUGUCAAUGGAAGCCUGCAUGGAAAAUACGGAACAGCUUAAGAAAGUACUGUCUUCUCUCAAAAUUCCACAGGAGCCUGAAAUGCAGGGGUUCCGGCCUAGGCGUUUUUUGAGGCAAAUAACGUCGCCACACGGCCGAGAUACAGGCCCCUUUUUGCCCCAUGAGACUUACUGGCCUCAGAGUCCGGCCGCUUCUGUUUUGUUUCUUCAUGUAUCCUUGGCUUCUAGCGCAGUUCCUGGUACACAGCAGGCGCUCAAUACAUAUUUGCUGAGCUAAGCAAAUAUGUCCUAGGCCCUGUGGAAGAUACGACAUGAGGAAGACCAGGUCCCUGCCAAAAAGGCACCGAGGGCCCAGGCUGGGGAGGGUAGUGCUGACAUCGAGUAGGCCUUCAGCUCUGACCCCAGCUUCAUUUUAAGUGACUAGGAACAAAUUCUCAAAACUUCUUUUCUAUCAACUCUUCUUCACCCCCAAUAUCACAGCACAACUGUCUGUCAUUGAUGGAGUUCCUGCAAUAAGACAAGCGCUAGAAGUUUACCAUAUUUGUAUCCUUACUGGAUUCCCAAAUUAAUCCUAGUAAGCAAGUGACAUGAUUGUUUUUAGUAGAGACAGGGUUUCACUUUGUUGGCCAGGCUAGUCUUGAACUCCUGACCUCAAGUGAUCCACCCACCUCAGCCUCCCAAAGUGCUGGGAUUAGGAAAAUGAAUACUUUUGCAAGCACAAUGACAGGAGUGUCAAAGGAGGUAGGCUCCACACUCUGAUGUCUCUUUAUCAGUGAGGCCUUUUCUGACUCCCUCACAUGAAGAGCAAACUCACUUCCCUUGUGCCAAAGCACUCAACAUAUAUGACAUCCCACACGGGGUAGGCUGAAUCGUGGCCCUUAAAGUAUGUCCAUGUUCCAAUCCUUAGAACAUGUGAAUGUAUUACCUUAUGUGGCAAAAUGGACUUUGCAGACAUGAUUAAGUUAAGGAUCUUGAGAUUUCAGGAAAAUUAUCUUGGAUCAUUCAGGUAGGCCUGACAUAAUCACAAGAGCCCUUACAAGAGAGAGGCAGGAGGCCAGAGGCAGAGAGCUACACUGCGGAGCUGCUUUGCAGAUGGAGGAAGGGGCCACCGAGACCUGAGAAAGUCAAGGAGACAGAUUCUCCCCUGGAGCCUCCAGAGGGAACCAGCCCUGCUCACACCGUCAUUUCAGCCCUGCAAGACUUGUUUGGGCUUCUGACGUCAAGAACUGGGACAGAAUGAAUUUGUGAUGUUUUAGGCCACUAGAUCUGUGGUAAUGUGUUAUAGCAGAAAUAGGAAACUAACACAACUCAUCUCUACUUGUGUAUAUGUUUGUUAUCCGUCUUCCUCUGCUGGGACAUGAAAUCCGCAACAAGUGGAGGCAAAGCCAGGGACUUUGUCUAUUAUGUUGACUGGCAUCCUUAGUGCUCAGAACAGAGCUCAGAAUAAUAAAUAUUUGUUGAAUGAGCAAAGACGGAGGGGGCAGUCGCAGGAAGGGGGCCUACCGCGUGGCUAAGGGCCCUGAGGUAUGAAAGAUCUGAGAUGCUGGUGGACGUGGCUGCUUCCCGAGCUGAACUGGGGAAGUGGUGGGGAGGUGGGAGAUGUCGGGGAGCUGAUGCUGGGGCAGUUUAUACUUUAUUCUGCAAAUGAAGAAUUAUUGAUGGGUUUCAUGUAGAGUCAUGAUCAUAUUUCUUGAUUGCGUUUUUUUUUUGUUUUGUUUUGUUUUGUUUUUUUGAGACAGAGUCUCACUCUGUCGCCGAGGCUGGAGUGCAGUGGUGCGAUCUUGGCUCACUGCAACCUCCGCCUCCUGGAUUCAAGCUUCCCGAGUAGCUGGGAUUACAGGUGCAUGCCACCAUGCCCGGCUAAUUUUUGUAUUUUUAGUAGAGACGGAGUUUCACCAUGUUAGUCAGGCUGGUCUCAAACUCCUGACCUCGUGAUCCACCCACCUCAACCUCCCAAAGUGCUGGGAUUACAAGCGUGAGCCACUGCGCCUGGCCUCCUGAUUGCUUUUUAAGUAAUUUUUUAAAAAUAAUUUUUCUCUUUAUUAUUAAAUGUUAGAAAUAUAUGGAAACGUGGGCAAAAAGUAAAAAUCACUCAAAUCUCAUUCCUAGAGUUAGUCACUAUUAAUAUUUUGGUGUAUGUGUAUUUCUUCCUUCAACAUUCAGAUUAUAUACUUUUUUGAAACUGGCUUUUUUCUCUUAAUGUGAAUUUCUCCAUGUCAUUAAAUAUUCUCCUAAAAA
rnacentral:lncRNA from 1 species